GUCACCUGCACUUCUGUCUGCAAUCAAGCAAGUAGUUUAAUUGGGCAAUGGCAGAGCCUUGCAGGAUAUCCUAAUGAGCCUAAUUGGUAGUGGGAAUCUGAGUCCCUGGAGAAUAGAGAUAGAAAGAAACCAGCAGACAAAGAGACAGGUAUUUUACUGAAAAGCUGCAAAAAUAGCCUGAGUUCCACAAAGCCGUUUUUAUGCUGAUUUCCUUCUGCUUCUGAUGGACCCUAUUUGCUGUAUAUGCUGCUCCUGUUGCUUCUCUUGCUUUCUUAGCUUCCCAGACAGUCAGUGGCAUUUGUUUCUGAUAGUUUGCAUUAGUGUCAAAGAGUCUGAGACCAGCAGCAGGUAGAUUAGUGAGGCUAUCCUCCUGUGGGCAGAGUUUUGGCACUGCAGCUGACCAAGAUUUUUGCAGAUGUAGAGCCUACCAGAAUGCUUUGAACAGACAUAGCUGUGUCCAUAUCAAAAGAGCACUGAUGGUAGGAUGCUCAAAUAAUUUCCAAACAGGUACUACCAUCUCCUUGAGGAAUUUGAGAAAGAUUCUGAAAUUGAAUAUGGAGGAAUCAGCACAGGGACCAGGAAGAUCACCUAAAUUUACUUACUUAAAUUUGAGAAAUAUAACUUCCACGUGUAAAAUACAGUUGUGGCUGUGGCUACAAGGGGGAAAGAACAAUUUAAAAUGAAGAGAAUGAAGCUUUACUUCAGAGCAGUCUAGAUAUUGCAGAGUGUAUAGAAUUCUUGAUAACAGGAGUAAAUUUUCUCAGACUGCUGUGCCAAGCUAAAUAACCACUCCGACUGCCAAACUAAUUCUGGUUACUUACCGCUCAUGUAACCCUUGGAAUUGCAGGGAUGUUUUUUGUUACUGAUGGCAAGUUAUGUGCUUUACUACUAAGAAUGAAUGUAUGAUACUCUAAAAUAUCUUAAUUCUAUGUGAAAGAUUUGGUUUGUAUGUUUGUUUGCUUGCUUGCUUGUUUGCUUGAUUUUCCUUCUUUUUUUUCCUUCUUUUUUUUCCUUUUUAACAUUUUUCCAUGAUGCCUUUUUAAGAGAGGAGUGAAAGGAUAAGCUGGAUCUCUUGUGGAAACAGAGGACUUGUCCUUCUCUGUUGAGCAGCUAAACAAGCUGAAGAAACUUUGAGAGGUAGCAAGAAAUUCAUUCAUAGCAUGGAGCUCCAAACUCAAAAUUUAAGAAGAGGAACUGACAGACAACACCAUGUAACAGGGAGCAGUCAGUCUCAGAGCUGAUGGAAGGGACUGUCUGAAGGACAACAGUGUAUACAGCACCGUUUAGCUCAGGUCAAAACAACAGAUACAUAAAACCAAGCCUGGAAACAAGUAUCUGCCAGAAAGGACACAAUGGGCCAGGAGAGCAUGUACGAACUUUUAAUUCUCUUCUGUCAGACUUGCUAACUUCAACUUUUUUUCCCCUAAGUCUCUCAGGGCCAUUAUUAUUAUUAUUAUUAUUAUUAUUAUUAUUAUUAUUAUUAUUAUUAUUAUUAUAAGCAUUCGAGUAUUCUUUAAUUCUUUAGGGAAUAGAUUAUGAGGAAAAGUUCUAGAACAGAUUCACUUCAGAGUUGUAGCUGACUCAGGAUACUACGCACUAGGUUAAUGAACUUUGAUUAACUCAAUUUGCCCCUCAGGCAACUCUGUUCAGCAUGAACAUGUUUUCACUGAAACACCAAUGGGCAAUUAAUAAUGUCACUGCAGCCCAGAAAAGAAAUCACAGAAGGCACCAGGGGCCUUGAUGGAAGAAAACCAAUAACGUAUUGUGAGAGAUGCAGAAGGGUGCUUUUGUGAAAUGUAGGAAUGAAUUAGUGCUGAAUUAGGCUAAUAGAAUAAAAGAAGACAGAAGAAACA
ensembl:lncRNA